CAGUAGCCGCGGUAAUACGUAGGCGGCAAGCGUUGUCCGGAAUUAUUGGGCGUAAAGGGCUCGCAGGCGGUUUCUUAAGUCUGAUGUGAAAGCCCCCGGCUCAACCGGGGAGGGUCAUUGGAAACUGGGAAACUUGAGUGCAGAAGAGGAGAGUGGAAUCCCACGUGUAGCGGUGAAAUGCGUAGAGAUGUGGAGGAACACCAGUGGCGAAGGCGACUCUCUGGUCUGUAACUGACGCUGAGGAGCGAAAGCGUGGGGAGCGAACAGGAUUAGAUACCCCAGUAGUCCCUGUCUCUUAUAC
rnacentral:rRNA from 1 species